rnacentral:tRNA from 3 species
GGGUGGGUAGUUUAUUUGGCAAAAUAUACGUCUCCAAAACGUAAGUAAUGGGUUCGAAGCCCGUCCCGCCUG